rnacentral:rRNA from 1 species
UACAGAGGGUGCGAGCGUUAAUCGGAAUUACUGGGCGUAAAGCGCGCGUAGGCGGCUUUGCAAGUCGGGUGUGAAAUCCCCAGGCUUAACCUGGGAACUGCAUUCGAGACUGCAUUGCUAGAGUAUGGGAGAGGGAAGUGGAAUUUCCGGUGUAGCGGUGAAAUGCGUAGAUAUCGGAAGGAACAUCAGUGGCGAAAGCGGCAUCCCGGACCGGCAUUGACGCUGAGGAGCGAAAGCCAGGGGAGCAAACGGG